rnacentral:rRNA from 1 species
GAUGAACGCUGGCGGCGUGCCUAAUACAUGCAAGUCGAGCGAAGCGGGGACGGGUGAGUAACACGUGGAUAACCUCCUAUAAGACUGGGAUAACUUCGGGAAACCGGGGCUAACCCCGUUACUUAUCGAUUGAUCCUCGCUGCAUUAUCUAGUUGGUAAGGUAACGGCUUACAAAGGCAACGAUGCAUAGCCGACCUAAGAGGGUGAUCGGCCACACUGGAACUGAGAGACGGCCCAGACUCCUACGGGAGGCAGCAGUAGGGAAUCUUCCGCAAUGGGCGAAAGCCUGACGGAGCAACGCCGCGUGAGUGAUGAAGGUCUUCGGAUCGUAAAACUCUGUUAUCAGGGAAGCGGUACCUAAUCAGAAAGCACCGGCUAACUACGUGCCAGCCGCCGCGGUAAUAC